AUCGAACGCUGGCGGCAGGCCUAACACAUGCAAGUCGAGCGAGGGGCGGACGGGGGCGUAAUGUAUGGGGACUGCCCGUUAGAGGGGGAUAACUACUGGAAAAGGUAGCUAAUACCGUAUACUAUCGGAUAACGCAUAGGGGAUUAGCUAGUAGGUGAGGUAAUGGCUCACCUAGGCGACGAUCCCUAGCUGGCCUGAGAGGUUGAUCAGCCACACUGGGACUGAGACACGGCCCAGACUCCUACGGAGGCAGCAGUGGGGAAUCUUGCGCAAUGGACGCAAGCCUGAUGCAGCAACGCCGCGUGUGUGAAGAAGGCCCUAGGGUUGUAAAGUACUUUCAUUCGGGAGGCGGUACCGACAGAGGAAGCACCGGCUAACUCCGUGCCAGCAGCCGCGGUAAUUC
rnacentral:rRNA from 1 species